rnacentral:piRNA from 1 species
UCAGUUGGUAGAGCGGAGGACUG